rnacentral:rRNA from 1 species
AACACGGUCCAGACUCCUACGGGAGGCAGCAGUAGGGAAUAUUGCGCAAUGGACGCAAGUCUGACGCAGCAACGCCGCGUGAGUGAAGAAGGCCUUAGGGUUGUAAAGCUCUGUCAUACGGGACGAACAACCGAUAGGUGAAUAGCCUGUCGGUCUGACGGUACCGUAGAAGGAAGCACCGGCUAACUCUGUGCCAGCAGCCGCGGUAAUACAGAGGGUGCAAGCGUUGCUCGGAAUUAUUGGGCGUAAAGGGUAGGUAGGUUGUCUCACUUGUCCGUGGUGAAAUCCUUGGGCUUAACCCAAGAAGUGCCUCGGAAACGGUGGGACUGGAGUCUCGGAGAGGGUCGUGGAAUUCCCGGUGUAGCGGUGAAAUGCGUAGAGAUCGGGAGGAACAUCAGUGGCGAAGGCGGCGACCUGGACGAGUACUGACACUCAACUACGAAAGCGUGGGGAGCAAACAGGAUUAGAUACCCUGGUAGUCCACGCUGUAAACGAUCGGUACUAGACUUGGCGAGAUUUGACCCUUGCCGAGUCGGAGCUAACGCAAUAAGUACCGCGCCUGGGGAGUACGGUCGCAAGAUUAAAACUCAAAGGAAUUGACGGGGGCCCGCACAAGCGGUGGAUCAUGUGGUUUAAUUCGAAACCACGCGAAGAACCUUACCUGGGUUUGACAUCCUCUGACAUCCAUAGAGAUAUGGCUUUCGUAGCAACACGACAGAGAGACAGGUGCUGCAUGGCUGUCGUCAGCUCGUGUGGUGACAUGUUGGGUUAAGUCCCGCGACGAGCGCAACCCCCGUCCUUAGUUGCCAGCAUUAAGUUGGGCACUCUAAGGAGACUGCCGUGGUUAACACGGAGGAAGGUGGGGAUGACGUCAAGUCCUCAUGGCCCUUACAUCCAGGGCGACACACGUGAUACAAUGGCCGGUACAAAGGGAAGCGAAGUGGUGACACGGAGCCAAUCUCAAAAAGCCGGUCUCAGUUCGGAUUGAAGUCUGCAACUCGACUUCAUGAAGGUGGAAUCGCUAGUAAUCGCGAGUCAGCAUUAUCGCGGUGAAUACGUUCCCGGGCCUUGUACACACCGCCCGUCACACCAUGGGAGCUAACUCAACCAGAAGACAGUUAGGCCAACCGCAAGGGGGCCGCUGGUCAAGGUGGGGUCGGUAACUGGGGUGAAGUCGGAACAGGGUAGCCGUAGGGGAACCUGCGGCUG